rnacentral:rRNA from 1 species
AAAACGACUCUCGGCAACGGAUAUCUGGGCUCUCGCAUCGAUGAAGAACGUAGCGAAAUGCGAUACUUGGUGUGAAUUGCAGAAUCCCGUGAACCAUCGAGUCUUUGAACGCAAGUUGCGCCCAAAGCCAUUAGGCCGAGGGCACGUCUGCCUGGGCGUCACGC